rnacentral:rRNA from 1 species
AUGGAUAGGGGAGGUGGGCGAGGAGGGUUACUCCACCCACCAGAUCCACGCCGCCCCUGCCCAAAUCCUCUCCGCGUGCGCUGCACCCAAUCCCGUCCUCGCUCGUCUCGUCCGACGGCCAGGUCCCCAUCCUCCUGCGGUUCCCCUCCCUUUCUUCCUUCUCCUCCCUCACGACACGCCUCAUGUCUCCAUCUCGCGUCCUUGCUGCCGCCACAGCCUCUCCAGGAGGCUCGCCCUCCGUGCUGCAAAGCAGCAGGCCCGAACCUGGAGGAGGAAGAGGAGAUCCCGGGGUCUAGACGGUGGCUCGGUACAGUUCCUUUUCGAUAUGUUCUUCAUGGCGCCGAUGGCUUCCACGGUGCAGAGGAAAGUAUGCGUGCCUUCUGCUGGAAAGGGCUCGGUGGUUGGGAGAGUAGCGCCAUGAAUGAUGAAUGUUGGCGAUCUUUUUAUUGUGACACAACGCUUUCGAGUUUCAUGAGACAUGGCCAUUCUCAAAGGGUUUAA